GGAGAAUUAGCUCAGCUGGGAGAGCAUCUGCCUUACAAGCAGAGGGUCGGCGGUUCGAUCCCGUCAUUCUCCA
rfam:Staphylococcus pseudintermedius strain 063228, complete genome.